rnacentral:rRNA from 1 species
UGGAAAACUCUCUUAUUCUCAGGUAUGCACACUCUCUCUAAACUUAGUCAAUUUUACAAACAGAGAAGCAAGAAGGGUUGGGCCAUUGGGGGUGAUCGUAACACUAAGUUUUUUCAUCAAGCUGUGAUCAAAAGAAGGAGGAAUACUAUUUGUUCAAUUAAAGAUGAGAAUGAUGUGUUGCACUUAAAGCCUAGUUCUAUUACUAAUACUUUUGUCAAUUAUUAUGUUAACAUUGAGAGACCUUUUCUCACCACUCAUUUACCCGAGAACUCUUUAGAUCCCACUUAUUUUAUUCCUGGUAAACAUGAAGUCUUGCAGAUUUUGAAAGAUAUGAAGCUUAAUGCUUCUCGGGGUCCGGAUGGAUUUAAUGUUGAAUUUUAUUUGGCGGCCUGGGAGUGGAUAGGAUAGGAAGUCACUCAGCUUCUGGUAAGCUUUUAUCAAACUGGUAUCUUACCUCCUCAUAUAAAUGAUACUAAUAUCGCUCUUAUUCCGAAAAAGUUAGUGCCUCAGGUUCCUAUGGAUUAUCGCCCUAUUAGUCUUUGUAAUGUCGUUUAUAAAAUCAUUGCUAAAUCUUGGCUAAUAGGAUUAAACCUCAUCUUCCUGAUUAUAUUGAUCCUGCUCAGUAAGCAUUUAUUGAGGGUAGAAGAAUUAGUGAUAAUAUCAUCAUUGCUCAAGAGAUUACUCACACUUUCUCUCUUAAAACGUGGAAUCAUCAAGCUUUCAUGCUGA